GACGUGACUUCAGAGUUUGAUCCUGGCUCAGGAUGAACGCUGGCGGCGUGCUUAACACAUGCAAGUCGAACGGACUAAAUGAAACCUAGUGAUUUUAGUUAGUGGCGGACGGGUGAGUAACGCGUGGGUAACUUGCCUCAUACUGGGGGAUAACAGUUAGAAAUGACUGCUAAUACCGCAUAAGCGCACAGCUUCGCAUGAAGCAGUGUGAAAAACUCCGGUGGUAUGAGAUGGACCCGCGUCUGAUUAGCUAGUUGGUGGGGUAACGGCCUACCAAGGCGACGAUCAGUAGCCGGCCUGAGAGGGUGAACGGCCACAUUGGGACUGAGACACGGCCCAA
rnacentral:rRNA from 1 species